UCUCAAGAAACAAAGACUGUGGAUUGCGUGGGACGUGAUUGGACCAGAUAUGGGUUCACGAAACUUUACCCCUAUCUCAAUUUACAGUUCAUACGAAAGGAGAACCCAAAACCAAGAGAGGGAGAGCCGAUUUGGGUUUAUGAAUUUUCAGCUUAAAAUUUUUCUUUUGUGCAAUCUUAAAUCAGGCUUUGAGUUUAGAUUAGGGAUUAUCUUUUAAUCGAUUAGGUGCAAUGUUAAUUAGAAGCAAGAUCUUAAUCGAUUUCCUUUUAUAAUUCUAUUUCUUACCUAGGAGUACUACAGAAGUCCAAACAAUUUGGGACAGGGAAACAAUGGAGUGUGUCUUUCAUAUUUGAAUCUCUGAUGAUUAAGGGUUUGGAAAGAUGCAUCUUUAUAUGGUGAUGAACUUCAACAGUAAAAAGGGGGAAGAGAUAGAUCAGAGAACGAACACAAAAUUUGAGCACACAAAAUUUGAGAAAUGGAGAGGCACUGAAUCUCUUAAUUUGGUUGAAUGGUAUUGUACAUAUUGUUCUAAAUCAUUUGGCUUUCAAAGUCCACAAGCUAUAUGGAGUAUGGAAAGUUAUAACUUGAUUUAAUUACAAAGGCUAGCUGUUUAUUACAAUUGGGGAUUCUGUAAUGCAUAUUGCAAC